UUCCCAAGUAUUGUUUAUAGGAAAGCAAACCAGAUCUCCUUUUCUCCUUACAACAUGCCUCAUCUCGAACAUGAAAACUGAAAGAUGAGGCAGCCACCUUAAGCAAACCUGCCCUGAGAUAGAAGAAAAUACAAGAACCUUUCAAGGACUCAGCUUCAGGAACCCUUUGGCACAGGAACUGACUCACCCAUUCUUGAGAGCCCAUCUGGGAGUGCAUUAUCUCCGGAUCAUCAGCACACACUGAUGGAAAAUGUUGAUCUGUAACAAGAAGUGCGGAGAGGCGAGCCUUGAUCUCUGCAGCUUCAGGGGCUGCAGGCCAAGCCAGGAGAGUGCAGCACCUUCUGCUCAGGCGGCCCUGCAGUCACUGGCAUUGCGAGAAACUGCGUCAAAAGUCUUCCUGGGAUGCAGAAAUUUCUACUGAAUCACAUAAGACUUUAAUUGCUUCAGAGCCCAAAUAGCUUCUACACAGCCAACCCUGAGAUCUCACAUUGUGGAUGAAAUCUUUUUUUAAUCCCUUCUUAUCUGUACAGUUGGGGAUUCAUUCAUAAAAGGCUUUGAGUGUUUGACCCCAGACGUGCCCCAGUGCAGAGGGAAUCUCUCACUCUCAUAUCAGGUUGGGAUGUCUUUUACUGUCAUAAUUUAAGUGCACUUUGCACUGCUCCCAGGGUCACAAGUUGCUGUGCUCCCUGUCUUUCCUACGGCCGCUCUCCUGUGGAAGCUACCAGGAGAACUCGCUAGAUAGGAAGGAAAGAAAGAGCUAAGUAAUUAAGAAGCAAGUGUGCAUCUGUCUCAGGCCACUUGCCAAGCAUAAUGUGGUGGGGGGAAAAAUCUGCUGCCGUUUGAAACUGCUCCUGUUGAACUUGCGUACUCCAGUAGCACGGGUGACAGAUGCCGCACAGUGAGGUCUUGGGACUUUCUGUGCCCACCUAAUGAUGAGGACAUCGUGGGGUUUGUCAGACCACAAACAUGCCAGAGGUUCCUGAGGUUUAGAUAGUUCUGAACAGGUCUCUGAUUUACUUAAGCUGCCUCCCUGUCAGAAUACAGUUGCAUGUACGAAAUAAUGGAUGUGUCCAACAAUUAGCUCCAGGAGCUCACCUCCAGAUUGUGUCAAAAAGAGCUCAGAUAUGGUCUGCUUCAGCAUCAUUUAGUGAUGAGGAAAGCAAGCAAGGGAGGAUAGGGCACUGUCAAAAUCGAUAGCCAAUCUGACAGGAAGAAGCUGGAUGUUUGGCAUGUUCCAGAUUAUUUUAGUGCCCCCUGAAGAGACGAUAGAAAGAAAUCUCCUGAAAACAUCUAACUGCUCAAAGGGUUUGAUGCAAAAGCUGCUCCUGCCCUUGAAACUCAUAGCUUGACGUUAACAUACCUCCUCUGUGGACAUCAAAAAGCUAUGUGUUACUAUAUGUGGUAUUGCAUCUGUUCCCAAAUUUGUUAUUAAUUUCUUCUGAAGUUAUGAUCAUGGGAGGAGGAAGAGAGGGAGUUAGCCAGCAGCCUUGUGUGGUUAAUUGGCCUCUCAUUGAGCUGUGGGUUGAAUAAACCAGAGCACCCUCGGCACCAUGCUAUCACCAGGGAUGAGGAAAUUGAGAUCACUGUCCAUGCUUGAAUGAGGACAGUGAUUUUGCUAAUGCAUCAUUUUGUAACCUCAGUCCAUUUUCUACGGUAAGAGCGGUGACAGUGGUAUUGGUCAGCGGAUAAGUCAGUAAGGAGCUGAGGUUGCUUUCACCAUCUUUGUGGUUAUAGGGAUGGCAUGAAACCAAGAUGACUGACUGACUCCUUUCCUGUAUAGAAAUCACAUUACUAAGUCUAAAAGUAGAGAAUCCAGUCAUGGUACUUUUUCCAAUAAGUUCAUGCCUGGAUAAGUGACUCCCUUGGAUAGGUGACCAACAUAUAACUGCACUGGGUGAGUAUGAUCCCAGCACAAGGUCCAUCAAAACAGAUUUCAAAACCUUUUAAACCUUUUUCUGUUCCUGCCAAUGCACCAUCCACACCAACAACUGUUUGAAGCGCUGUUUCAUGUGAAAUGCCCAAGCUUGUAUGGGAACAUCUUUGCUUAACAUCCACCAUGCUGAUGACUGUAACUUAAUUACCAUGCAUACAGUACCAGUGACAGUAAAUAUUAGUGCUGUGUGCUGCAGAACAAAUACCCUGUGAUGAAAAAUUCAAACAGUAUCGAGUUUUUCAUUAGUGCAGUAAUGGCUUUCUCACACAUUUAGCUCAUUUUUAACUCAACCUGCUAUGGGAAGGAAAUGACAUACUUUUUGUUGAAUAAGACAGCGCAGAGAUUAUAUGAAGGCACUUUUUUAUGGGUAAAGAAACGUAUGCUACAUUAAUCUAUUUUUAUGCUUUGGACUACAUGCUGAUGAGUCAUUUGAAUGCCAAGUUUCAUCAGUUAAUCGGGAAUGAUAUAAGUGGCCCAAUGAUAAAAUAAAAUACACGUAUUUCUUUUAAGAACACAGCAU
rnacentral:lncRNA from 7 species